UACGUAGGUCCCGAGCGUUGUCCGGAUUUAUUGGGCGUAAGGCGAGCGCAGGUGGUUUAUUAAGUCUGGUGUAAAAGGCAGUGGCUCAACCAUUGUAUGCAUUGGAAACUGGUAGACUUGAGUGCAGGAGAGGAGAGUGGAAUUCCAUGUGUAGCGGUGAAAUGCGUAGAUAUAUGGAGGAACACCGGUGGCGAAAGCGGCUCUCUGGCCUGUAACUAACACUGAGGCUCGAAAGCGUGGGAAGCAAACAGG
rnacentral:rRNA from 1 species